UACGUAGGGACCAAGCGUUGUUCGGAUUUACUGGGCGUAAAGGGCGCGUAGGCGGCAUGACAAGUCACUUGUGAAAUCUCCGGGCUUAACUCGGAACGGCCAAGUGAUACUGUCGCGCUAGAGUGCAGAAGGGGCAAUCGGAAUUCUUGGUGUAGCGGUGAAAUGCGUAGAUAUCAAGAGGAACACCUGAGGUGAAGACGGGUUGCUGGGCUGACACUGACGCUGAGGCGCGAAAGCCAGGGGAGCAAACGGG
rnacentral:rRNA from 1 species